rnacentral:lncRNA from 1 species
GAGCAGGGUGAAAGAGCUAAAACAAAGUGGAGAAAAGGCUUUAAGGGAAGGUGGUUCGUCAUAUAAUGCCCUGUCUCAAAUGGUAAGUAAAGCAAUGCAAGAUUUGCAGAUGAAGGAUCAAUGAUCAUGCUAAUGAAAGUACGAAAUGUGUGUGUGAUGAUGUAAUAAAUUAAGCUCGUGCCAUUAUAUAGUGCCUCAUGCAUGAGCUUGUAUGUAUUUUGUGAAUUUAAUUUGCUCUUUGUCAAUAUAUUUUGCUUGUACUCGUUCAGACUACAGAG